GGAUUAGAUACCCUGGUAGUCCACGCCGUAAACGAUGAGUGCUAGAUGUUAGGUUGUUUAACUUAGUGUCGUAGCUAACGCAUUAAGCACUCCGCCUGGGGAGUACGGUCGCAAGAUUAAAACUCAAAGGAAUUGACGGGGACCUGCACAAGCGGUGGAGCAUGUUAUUUAAUUCGAUGCAACGCGAAAAACCUUACCACCCCUUGGCAUGGGAGCAAUACUCUCUUGAGAAAGAGAGGUCAGUUCGGCUGGGCUCUACACAGGUGUUGCAUGGCUGUCGUCAGCUCGUGCCG
rnacentral:rRNA from 1 species